rnacentral:rRNA from 1 species
ACACUGCAGACGGCUCAGUAACACGUAGUCAACAUGCCCAGGGGACGUGGAUAACCUCGGGAAACUGAGGAUAAACCGCGAUAGGUCACUACUUCUGGAAUGGGUAAUGACUUAAAUCUAUAUGGCCCCUGGAUUGGACUGCGGCCGAUCAGGCUGUUGGUGAGGUAAUGGCCCACCAAACCUGUAACCGGUACGGGCUCUGAGAGGAGGAGCCCGGAGAUGGGCACUGAGACAAGGGCCCAGGCCCUAUGGGGCGCAGCAGGCGCGAAACCUCUGCAAUAGGCGAAAGCCUGACAGGGUUACUCUGAGUGAUUUCCGUUAAGGAGAUCUUUUGGCAUCUCUAAAAAUGGUGCAGAAUAAGGGGUGGGCAAGUCUGAUGUCAGCCGCCGCGGUAAUACCAGCACCCCGAGUGGUCGGGACGUUUAUUGGGCCUAAAGCAUCCGUAGCCGGUUCUACAAGUCUUCCGUUAAAUCCAGCUGCUUAACAGAUGGGCCGCGGAAGAUACUAUGGAGCUAGGAGGCGGGAGAGGCAAGCGGUACUCGAUGGGUAGGGGUAAAAUCCGUUGAUCCAUUGAAGACCACCAG